rnacentral:rRNA from 1 species
CAGUCGCCACGGUAAUACAGAGGGUGCGAGCGUUAAUCGGAUUUACUGGGCGUAAAGCGUGCGUAGGCGGCUUUUUAAGUCGGAUGUGAAAUCCCUGAGCUUAACUUAGGAAUUGCAUUCGAUACUGGGAAGCUAGAGUAUGGGAGAGGAUGGUAGAAUUCCAGGUGUAGCGGUGAAAUGCGUAGAGAUCUGGAGGAAUACCGAUGGCGAAGGCAGCCAUCUGGCCUAAUACUGACGCUGAGGUACGAAAGCAUGGGGAGCAAACAGGAUUAGAGACCCCAGUAGUCCCUGUCUCUUAUAC